rnacentral:rRNA from 1 species
UACGUAGGGUGCGAGCGUUGUCCGGAAUUAUUGGGCGUAAAGGGCUCGUAGGCGGUUUGUCGCGUCGGGAGUGAAAUCCACUGGACUUAACUGGUGGCUUGCUUUCGAUACGGGCAGACUGGAGGUAUGCAGGGGAGAACGGAAGUUCCUGGUGAGCGGUGAAAUGCGCAGAUAUCAGGAGGAACACCGGUGGCGAAGGCGGUUCUCUGGGCAUGUCCUGACGCUGAGGAGCGAAAGUGUGGGGAGCGAACAGG